AUGGGUUCAGGACAUCAGGCUGCGCCCAAACGAGUCCACAGCUUCCUCGUCCUCUGGAGGGCUCUGCGGGCAGAAGCUGUGUUGCUGCAACCACAGGUGGUCGACAAGAUCUCCUGGCAUCUUCAGAGCGCUGGCAUAUACAAUGCAAAAUCAGGUUACAAAGCACAAUUCAGUGAUCUUCAGAAGACUGAAGACAAACAGCUCAUAUGGAAAACUUGGGCACCCGGAAACAUCAAAGUUUUCUUCUGGUUACUUCUUCGAAAUCGCCUCUGGUGCAAUGACAGGCUUCAGCGCAGAGGAUGGGAAAAUGGAUACUUUUGCACUCUAUGCACAAGAAAUCUGGAGACCUCGGUUCAUCUCUUUUGGGACUGCCCGGUCGCUAAAGAAAUCUGGCGAAGGAUUUCAACCUGGACAGGCCGUGACAGACUUGCGCGCCUUGCUUCAUCCUCGGACCACAUCACCUCCUCUGUUCGCAGAAUGCGCUGCCUCAUCCAUCAGGCAAGACCAAGGCUCAGAGAGAGGCUAAAGACGAUGAUCUUCCUUGUAACAUGGCACAUCUGGAGGGAAAGAAACAACAGAAUUUUUAGACACGAAUCAAACCAAAUUUGCAAUGUGAUUGCCGCGAUCAGAAGAGAUGUAGAAGGCUGGAAGCUAACCGGGGCGAAGUGCCUCGAGACGCCACUAGGGGAUCCAGGCUAG
rnacentral:rRNA from 1 species